rnacentral:rRNA from 1 species
AUUGAACGCUGGCGGCAGGCCUAACACAUGCAAGUCGAACGGUAACAGGAAGCAGCUUGCUGCUUUGCUGACGAGUGGCGGACGGGUGAGUAAUGUCUGGGAAACUGCCUGAUGGAGGGGGAUAACUACUGGAAACGGUAGCUAAUACCGCAUAACGUCGCAAGACCAAAGAGGGGGACCUUCGGGCCUCUUGCCAUCGGAUGUGCCCAGAUGGGAUUAGCUAGUAGGUGGGGUAAAGGCUCACCUAGGCGACGAUCCCUAGCUGGUCUGAGAGGAUGACCAGCCACACUGGAACUGAGACACGGUCCAGACUCCUACGGGAGGCAGCAGUGGGGAAUAUUGCACAAUGGGCGCAAGCCUGAUGCAGCCAUGCCGCGUGUAUGAAGAAGGCCUUCGGGUUGUAAAGUACUUUCAGCGGGGAGGAAGGGAGUAAAGUUAAUACCUUUGCUCAUUGACGUUACCCGCAGAAGAAGCACCGGCUAACUCCGUGCCAGCCGCCGCCGUAACAC